GCCAGGUGUGGUGGUGUGUGCCUGUGAUCCCAGCUACUUGGGAGGCUGAGGUAGGAGGAUCGCUUGAGCCCAGGAGGUAAAGGCUGCAGUGAGCCAUGAUUGUGCCACUGCACUCCAGCCUGGGCAACAGAGCGAGACCCUGUCUCCA
ensembl:misc_RNA Metazoa_SRP Metazoan signal recognition particle RNA